GAUGAAGAACGUAGCGAAAUGCGAUAAGUAAUGUGAAUUGCAGAAUUCAGUGAAUCAUCGAAUCUUUGAACGCACAUUGCGCCCGCCAGUAUUCUGGCGGGCAUGCCUGUUCGAGCGUCAUUUCAACCAUCAAGCCCCCCCGGCUUGUGUUGGGGACCUGCGGCUGCCGCAGGCCCUGAAAAGCAGUGGCGGGCUCGCUGUCACACCGAGCGUAGUAGAUCUCAUCUCGCCCAGGGCGUGCUGCGGGUUCCGGCCGUUAAACCACCUUCAUAACCCAAGGUUGACCUCGGAUCAGGUAGGAAGACCCGCUGAACUUAAGCAUAUCAAUAAGCGGAGGA
rnacentral:misc_RNA from 1 species